CGACUUAGAGCCUACGUGCGGAAAAAGGAGCCCAUCACCAAGAUACCGGAAUUUUGCCGAAAAGACACUUGUAUUCCAGUCAGAUCUCACAGUGCCCAUGUGCGGUCAUUACACGACACUGGCAGAAAUUGCUAAAACAAUUAGCAGAUUGCUAUAAAAAAAAAAA